AACGAACGCUGGCGGCAGGCUUAACACAUGCAAGUCGAGCGCGUAGCAAUACGAGCGGCAGACGGGGGAGUAACGCGUGGGAAUCUACCUUUUGCUACGGAAUAACUCAGGGAAACUUGUGCUAAUACCGUAUGUGCCCUUUUGGGGAAAGAUUUAUCGGCAAGAGAUGAGCGCGCGUUGGACUAGGUAGUUGGUGGGGUAAUGGCCUACCAAGCCGACGAUCCAUAGCUUGUCUGAGAGGAUGAUCAGCCACCUUGGGACUGAGACACGGCCCAGAAUCCGACGGGAGGCGGCAGUGGGGAAUAUUGGACAAUGGGGGCAAGCCUGAUCCAGCCAAGCCGCGUAAGUGAUGAAGGCCCUAGGGUUGUAAAGCUCUUUCACCGGUGAAGAUAAUGACGGUAACCGGAGAAGAAGCCCCGGCUAACUUCGUGCCAGCAGCCGCCGUAA
rnacentral:rRNA from 1 species